ACAUUUGCAUCCAGCUACUGCCUCUGCCCAAGGUCUUGUCUGGGGCCCUGAGUUAGCUACAAAGAGGAAACAGAUGCCUGCCUGGCCCAGAAGGACCUCCAUGCAGAGGCCUCAAAAGCCUACAGCCAGGAUCCCCGUCACCUCGACACAAGACUGGACCUCUGGUCUUUGUCAUAACAGGAAGGAACUAUGAGGAAAUUCAACAAUGAGGUAGCUGGCUAUGAUGCUGCCUAGAGUUCCAUAGUGAAAGGUGCCACAUUGGCCCCAACAGAUCUACCCUCUUGGGCACAGUGAAUGAGAAACUCACCAGGGAGAGAGGAAAGGAGGAAGAGGUAUGUUUGGUCUGAGGGACAAGAUGGCUAAACCACACGGAAGAUAAUAGAUGCUCAGUUUGUUGGACCAAAGUUGGACCAUGAGUUCUCAGAGUUUGUCAUGGGUGACGAUGUUCAAGACGCUGGAAUUUGUUCUUAUCUGAGGCGUGGGAUCGGUCCUCCUCAGUCCUCAUCAAUCUUCAUCUGACUUUUAUUUUUGUCAUAAAUCUCAAAUUAAGAUGCCCUCACAUGUGCUCACAAAUGGAUAUCUGGUGUGAGUGGACCUGACUGGACCUUUUGGAGUAAGAUUCUGGCAUCCACAGGGGGAAAAACACAGCACUGAGCAACUGUAGCAGAACGAGGGAAGGAAGCAUCUGCAUCCCCAGAAGGUCAAGAAAUUUCAUGCAGAUACGGGAGAGCAUGAACCUGAGGGUGGAAGCGUCGACAACUGAAUUUCAAAGGCCUCCUGGCAAGUACACGGAAAGCGAUGCUCAACAGAAUGACCCUACUUGCUUCCGACUUAAGUGUCCGAAGUACUACAGGAGGAGAAGCUUCUAGUUCCAGCACACACAACUGUGCCUGUGGGUCCUGCCGAUUGCAUUCUAAGGAACUUUCAUCACAGGGUCUGACUCUCAGGGAUGCACCCAACCACAUAGUACGAUGUGGAAAGCGAGAUUAAAAAAAAAAAAAAAAAGACUAAUUUCAGAACCAGAAUAAGGAUUUGAUGUGUACUAAGCAGGAAUGUUGGUCCUCAAGAGUCAUUCCCAAAGACUUCAUUAAGCUGUUGGAUUAGGGCUCCAUUUCUCCAUAAUGAAGCACUCUGGAAAAACUCAGAAGCCACCCCUCCGCACCCCAGCUGGAGGCAUCUGAAUGGAGAAGAGGAGAGAGUCAGAGGACAAGGUGGCGAGGUCUGUUCAAGGACUCAGGCUCUGCUCAACUGACCCAGCUAGCUGCAAGA